rnacentral:lncRNA from 1 species
UUCUUUUCUAGUUACAGAGUAUUAAAUGUGGUACAAAACCGUAUUUAACUAUAAAUAUCAUUUAUGAAGGUUGAUUGAUCAAUAUGAUCUUUUAUUUAUACUCUUUAUAUUUAUAAAAUGAUUUAAAAUUGAUUUUUUAGUCAAUUUGAUAAUAUCUAUUGUUUAUUCAAUCAAUUACUUUAAUAAAUUCAUUAUUGCCUUCUUUUGUAAUUACAGAGUAUUAAAUGUGUUACAAAACCGUAUUUAACUAAAAAUAUCAUUUAUGAAGGUUGAUUGAUCAAUAUGAUCUUUUAUAUAUUUUCUUUAUAUUUAUAAAAUGAUUUAAAAUUUAUUAUUUAAUCAAUUUGUUUAAUAUCUAUUGUUAAUUCAAAUGAUUACUACAAUAAAUCCAUUUGUUGCUUUCUUUUCUAAUUACAGAGUAUUAAAU